UGUGGUUUGUCAGACGCAAAUGUGACCUACUGUAUGUCUCUAUCCCUCUCACUGAAUUGACCUCAAAUAUAGGCUACUAUCCCUCUCACUGAAUUGACCUCAAAUAUAGGCUAGGCACUAUUCCGUGAAGUCUGUAAUAAGCAAAUGGCUGAAUCAAAGAUGAAUAGCCUACUGCAUAGUUGAACAAAAAAGGUGGGAGUUAUAGAAUUAGGCGCAUAAUUAAAUUGAGUCAUGGUUUAACAGUGUUGACAACGUCAAAUCCUGAGGCAAUAUCGCCUGCAUCUUUGCACUGGAUGAAGGAACAAGUAUUUAUUCUAGCUGAGGGGUAUUCAAAUCAUUGAGGGGUCAUUGCAAAUCAGGGGAGUUGGGCAGCAAUCACAAAUUGUUAUCAUAAAAAUCAAGAGUUUUUAUUAUGCGUUUCAUUGAUCACUGACAGUUAUCACACUUCUGAUACCAGUGUAACCCAUUCAUAGACACUACCAUUAGCGCCUAUUGAUGAUAGUACUGUAUCUUCUGAUCUGAGGUUUUGUCAAGGGCUUCGACGCUCGUUCUGAACGUUAAAACGCAUCGCUUGUGGUACCGUUUUGGAGAUCAGCCAGAAAUACUAAAAAUAAAUAAAAAAGGUUAAAGGGUUAGUGUUCGCACAGGGUCAUAUCUCCAUGUUACUUACAGUGCUUGUUUACGGAAGACAUAGGCAGCCACCUGUGCUAAUUAGUAUGCUCUGAAAACCUGUGUGUAAACUAACUGGGGAGGAAGUGCAGUUCCUAAACAGCGUAUGGAUCUGUGUCAAACUGCUACACAUGUUAUGGUACUAAAGUCGGGCACAGAUCCUGAAGCUGCAGUGCACAGUGCCGAAACACAGGACUGUACAGCUGCACAUUUUUUGUGAAGACAUCGUCAGCAGACUAUCCAACAAUUGUGACUCAUUUACAGUCACAAUAAAACAGUGGUGAGAUAUGGAGGUUUCAUUGGUGGCAGGUGUGGCCCUAGCCUGUCAGUACCAGGGCAUCAACCAGGAGAUAGAUGUAGAGAUCAGGAAGGUGAUCAAGUAUGUGGCCCAGUUUGCGAUCUCUGACCCUGAGCCGCCAUGGGAUGACCUCUGCAACCACAUCUUCACCUGCGAACUGCCCAUGGAGGUCUGCGGGACCACCCCUGGGUCAAACUAAAGUCUGUCAGCUAGACACACACACACACACACACACACACACACACACACACACACACACCUGGACCAAACUACAGUCCAUCAGCUACACAUCCCUUCCGACCUUCUGAGACACCAACCCCUGGGUGAAAGUCUACUCCUCCUUUCCUCUUCUCCUUCUCUCAUUCCAUUUUCUCUCAUUAGUUCUCUAAACUCACAAUAGGAUAUGCGAUUGUGACCCUGUAGGUCAGAGUUCAGUCAGUAGCAGCAUUCCAAACCAUUUAAUCACCUCUGACCCUAUGAUGUCACUAGUAUUUAUUCACAAUAUGUACUGUAUAGCGUAUAAUAUGUAAUUUUAUGUCAGAGUUGGUAUGUAUUCUACUGAUACUGAGGGAUCUGUCUGUGAAUGGGAGGUGAAUUGCAUUGGGCAGGCUUUUGUACCAGCCCAGCACUAACACACCUGAUUCAACAUAUCAACCUGCGCUAAACCAAGUACUACUCUCUGUUUUUAAGGUUUAUGACUGUUUGUAUGUAUUACGUUCCUCUGACCCAGAUGCUAUUGUUGCACUUUUACUAGAUAAACUUAAGAGACACCAGACUGAAAGUAAUAAUGUCAUCAUAGGAAAUGGGAAUGGCAAUGGUCGUUUUUUUGUCUACUGCUCUCUUCCUCUCCUUCUCUUCCUCUUUCUCUGACUCCCUCCUUCUCUGAUCCAAACACUAUGAAACUGAAGCAUCUGCGUGAACUGAAAGACUAAAAGAUUGUAAUACAGUUUGGAGUGAUUUGACUGAAGCAAUAAAGUUGGCUAAGACUUUG